rnacentral:rRNA from 1 species
GAUGAACGCUGGCGGCGUGCCUAAUACAUGCCAGUCGAGCGAACAGACGCGGAGCUUGCUCCUCUGACGUUUGCGGCGGACGGGUGAGUAACACGUGGAUACCCUACCUAUAAGACUGGGAUAACUUCGGGAAACCGGCGCUAAUACCGGAUAAUAUCUUGAACCACAUGGUUCAAUAGUGAGAGACGGCUUUGCUGUCACUUAUAGAUGGUUACGGGCUGCAUUAGCUAGUUGGUAAGGUAACGGCUUACCAAGGCAACGAGGCGUAGCCGACCGGAGAGGGUGAUCGGCCACACGGGAGCUGGGACACGGUCCAGACGACUACGAGAGGCAGCAGUAGGGAAUCUGACGCAAUAGGCGAGAGCAUGACAGAGCAACGGCGAGUGAGAGAUGAAGGUCUUCGGAUCGUAAUACCCUGUUAUUAGGGAAGAACAAAUGUCGAAGUAGCUGUACACGUAUUGACGGUACCUAGUCAGAAAGCCACGGCUAACUACGUG